rnacentral:rRNA from 1 species
CCUACGGGUGGCAGCAGUCGGGAAUAUUGCGCAAUGGAGGAAACUCUGACGCAGUGACGCCGCGUGCAGGAAGAAGGUUUUCGGAUUGUAAACUGCUUUAGACAGGGAAGAAAAGAGACAGUACCUGUAGAAUAAGCUACGGCUAAAUACGUGCCAGCAGCCGCGGUAAUACGUUGGGAGCAAGCGUUAUCAGGAUUUAUUGGGUGUAAAGGGUGCGUAGACGGAUAUGCAAGUUAGUUUGGAAAACCCUCGGCUUAACUGAGGAACUGCAACUAAAACUACUUGCCUUGAGUAUUGGAGAGGAAAGUGGAAUUCCUAGUGUAGCGGUGAAAUGCGUAGAUAUUAGGAGGAACACCAGUGGCGAAGGCGACUUUCUGGAAAGUAACUGACGUUGAGGCACGAAAGUGUGGGGAGCAAACAGGAUUAGAUACCCCAGUAGUC